CCAGCUUUCCUUUGGAGAUGUCUGGUCCUGCAGGAUGUAGCUCCCGAACCCUUAGUUUCCUUGGGAUCCAAGUAUUCUGAAUCUAUGUUUGUGACCCAAGUCCAACAUAGCUGGCAGAGGAUGCCCUGCCUUAAGGGUCAGGGCUCUUCAGGAAAUUGCUAAUAGUCUACAUAAAUGAUCUGUGUAGCUUUUUAAUCUAUCCCUCAACCAUAGAGACUUCUUGACAAUUUUGGUUUCUGUUUUACACUUUCUUAUUAGCAUACUGCAUUUCGCUGCUGGAGAGAUGGCUCAGAGGUUAAGAACACUGGCUGCUCUUCCAGAGAGGUUCUGAAUUCAAUUCCCAGCAAACAUCUGGAAUGAGAUCUGGCGCCCUCUUCUGGUGUCAGCCAACUUCCAAGUGGAGAGAGGAGAGCGAUCCCAGCAUCCAAGAGGAUCCUAAAGGAUUGGAUGACGCUGGAUAUUGCAGGAGAGUCAGGUAGUCUGACGGUGGGAAGGCAAUACAGCACAGUUCUGGUCCUGGAAGGCCUCUGCCAGGUAAAGAAUUCUGGACUUGGGACAGUAAAAAGGCAAGGGACUGAAUAGUGGAAAGAGGCACAGGGAGUGCAAACCUGGGCACAAGGUAGGUUGGAGACUGUCACCAUGAUCUAGGCAAGGCUGAAUCAGUAGGAGUCAGCCCCCUUGAGGGGAAGGCAAGGGACACUGGUGACUACUUCCAGACAGAAUACACAGAGGGUUUUGAGACUGGAAUGGCUCCAGUGUUUUUGGCUUGGGCAACAGGUGGUGCCAUUUCCCCAGAGGUGGCACCUUCAGGGUCAAACAGGUCCCAGCUGAGGUCCCCAAAGAACAAACAAAAGGGAAAGCAUCUCAGCCCCCACGUGAAGAAGCAGAACUGCCGCACACAGCAUUCCACAGUUUAUACAAAACUUGUGUUGAAACAGAGGCAGCAAGGACACAGGUGCUGCGGGGGCGGAGUGCCGGGGACUGCCAUCUGGAGAGGAGCAAGCUGCUUAGAGAGGGCUUUGAAAACCUCACCAUGGAGGCGAGGCUGGACACAGAAAACCCAAAACAACCAAACAAGCAAGGAUGCCACACAUUGAAACUAGCAACAGCAGGAAUUUAGAAGAAAAGGUAUACAAGGAUAUUUUAGAGAAUUUGUGUUACAUACACACAUGUGUAUGUCUAUAUAUUCUGAAAUGCUUAUCAUAUAUAUAUAUAUAUAUAUAUAUAUAUAUAUAUUUCUGCACACAUACAUAUAUAUAGAAGAAUCACCUUCAAUUCUUGAAAGCAAAAUAGAAAGAAGUUUCUGCCUUCUAAAAAUUUAAGAAAACCUUAUUAUUAAACAAAAACAAGAAAAUGACUGCCAAAUGAAGUGGAUUCAAUCCAAAGUAUGUAUGGGCACAGAGCCAAGCCAUCCAAGUACAGACACUGGAGGACAGACCAUCUUCCCCAACACAGUGUCGAGCUCCUGAUGAUUUCAUGGAGUGGCCCUCUGUGGGUGGAUGGAUAGAUGGACAUGGUGUUUGAUCUGACCAAGGAUGGAGAGAGAUGUUGAGUUUUCUGCAAAGUCUUCUCUUUCACUCAUGAUUGAAUCUCUAAUUUUUUUUUUUGAGACAGGGCUUCUCUGUGUAGCUUUGUAGGCCAGGCUGGCUUCAAACUCACAAAGAUCCACCUGCCUCUGCCUCCCAAGUGUGGGGGUUAAAGGCAUGCACUGCCACCACCACCCGAUAAAUCUCUGAUUUUUAACUUGGUACAUGGCUGUCUGGGACUGUGACUAUAUUUAUCUGUUUACUGUUUGUCUUGAUUCCACUUUGGUGCUCUUUCAAAUAAUGCUGCCGUGUUCAUGUGCAAGUCUUUAGGUGGACACAGCCCCGUGAGUCUUGAGUAGAGAGCCCAGAGUAGGCCUGCUAGUUGGGGGAGCUUAUGGCAUGGCUUUGUGGGGAAGCAUGGGGAAGUCUCAGAAAUGUGGUCCACAGCUGCUGCUCCGUUUCUUUUGAUGAGCUAACUUUGCAAGGCUGGCUGUUUUCUUAAAGAGAGAGUGCAGCUGCCUUCUUGGUGACUGAAUGUGAACAGAAGACAAGUUUUGAACUGUCUUGGGCAAGAAGGGAAGAAAUGCACUUUGAGCCUGGAGGAACAGCAAGCUAGCUGGAGUCAGGGCAACAGAGGCUCCAAACUUCACUAGGGUUUCCUGUCACUUGCAUUGGAAUCUAAUCCUAAUGUAUGUGGUUGUCAUGGGCUUGGCGAU
ensembl:lncRNA